rnacentral:rRNA from 1 species
AGAUUGAACGCUGGCGGCAUGCCUUACACAUGCAAGUCGAACGGCAGCACGGGGGCAACCCUGGUGGCGAGUGGCGAACGGGUGAGUAAUGCAUCGGAACGUGCCCAGUAGUGGGGGAUAACUAGUCGAAAGAUUAGCUAAUACCGCAUACGACCUAUGGGUGAAAGCGGGGGAUUCGCAAGAACCUCGCGCUAUCGGAGCGGCCGAUGUCUGAUUAGCUAGUUGGCGGGGUAAAAGCCCACCAAGGCGACGAUCAGUAGCUGGUCUGAGAGGACGACCAGCCACGCUGGGACUGAGACACGGCCCAGACUCCUACGGGAGCAGCAGUGGGAAUUUGGACAAUGGGCGCAAGCCUAGAUACAGCCAUCGCCGCGUGGACGGGAAGAAGCCUUCGGUUGUAACCGCGUUUGGACGAGAACGAACGG